rnacentral:lncRNA from 1 species
AAUUUCACUAGAAAGCUCCCUCCUUUGUGACAUCAUUAGGAAGAGAGGUAGCUAAGGGAACCGAUGAUUGAGCCUCUCUGGGAACAACAGUCAAGAUCAGCAGCUCUUAAAACUGAGAGUAAAGAUUCACAUGCAGCAAGGCCCCUAAUCCAGAGAGUGAAACAUGGGCUCUACCCAGAAAAGCUCCAUGUCUCAGACAGCCAAGAUGACUAAAGCCUCGCUUAAAGUUUCUGCUCCUAUGCAGCGAGGGCCUGAGGUCAAUCAUAGUGUGAGUCCCCAUCGAGGCCCUUCUGCCAGUCAGAGAGGUGCAGAUUUGUCCCGGAGUGUUUCCCCCCAACGCGGAAUGGAAAGCCGUCAAACCUCCCAAAGAGGGGUAGAUACCCCUCAAUCUGCUUCCCCCCAGUAUGGGCUUGAUUUCUCCCGAAUUUCCUCCUCCCAAGGGAACGAAUCUAUUUCUCACAGCCAAGGCCAUUUAAAGGCUGAAGCAACCCAUCACGGCUCACCUCAAUACAAACAUGAACACGGCUCAGUUCCUCAUGGGAACUUGCUUGCCCCGUCAGGGAGAGCACAGAUGAAAUAUGAUGGUACUUCUUAUGGUGGCACACACAGGACCCAAAGUCCACCAACACAGGAUCAAACACAUAAAAAUGUGGCUGCCCCAGGGCAAGAGAGCCAUCGGAACAUACUUCCCUCAGAUGCCAAAAUCACUUCCCGGGCACUGUACUCAAAUCCGAAGGAAUCAACUACAGUACCGAGCUCUCAAUGGGAUGUGGAACCACCGCCCUCCAAGAUAGGGAUAGCCUCAGCUUACUGUGAAGAGUUAAUCAUACAGAGUGAGAAGGCAACUUCUCCUGAACCGCAAUCUCCAAGGACAAUGCCAUCAUGUGAUUUGCUGAAGUCUACGUGGCAGCCCUUGGAAUCAUCUGAGUCCGUGGAGGAUGGAACCAUUCAAAGGUUUAGUGCUUUCUUCCUGGAUGUUACUGAUGAGAUGCUUAAUCGGGUCAUCUGGUGGUUGAAAGGUUUGUGUUUUUGCCCCAUUUAUGUCAUUUGGAAGUGGGGGUGGUGAUGGGUGUAGGAGGAGUGAUUGGUUUACCAGUUCCCAUUGGGAUAUUCCAC